rnacentral:rRNA from 1 species
CCUGACGCAAGCACGCCGCGUGUAGGAGGAAGUCCCUCGGGAUGUAAACUACUGUCAGGGGGAAGAAAGUCCGCCUCGGCGGAUUGAUCUAACCCAGAGGAAGUCACGGCUAACUUCGUGCCAGCAGCCGCGGUAAGACGAAGGUGGCAAGCGUUGUUCGGUAUUACUGGGCUUAAAGCGUGUGUAGGCGGAAUGGUAAGCGUCUUGUGAAAUCCCUCGGCUUAACCGAGGAAUUGCUUGGCGUACUGCCUUUCUUGAGGCAGGUAAGGGUGCACGGAACUCUUGGUGGAGCGGUGGAAUGCGUAGAUAUCAAGAGGAACGCCGGUGGAGAAGUCGGUGCACUGGGCCUGUUACUGACGCUGAGACACGAAAGCGUGGGGAGCGAACGGGAUUAGAUACCCCGGUAGUCCACGCCGUAAACGGAUGUCUACUAGGUUGCGGAGGUUCUGACGCCGUCGCGACCGAAGCAAAAGUGUUAAGUAGACCGCCUGGGGAGUACGGCCGCAAGGCUAAAACUCAAAGGAAUUGACGGGGGCUCACACAAGCGGUGGAGCAUGUGGAUUAAUUCGACGCAACGCGAAGAACCUUACCUGGGUUUGACAUCCUUUGACACCCCUGGAAACAGGGCUUUCCCGACUUGUCGGGACAGAGUGACAGGUGCUGCAUGGCUGUCGUCAGCUCGUGUCGUGAGAUGUUGGGUUAAGUCCCGCAACGAGCGCAACCCCUGUCUUUAGUUGCCAGUAUUCAGUUAGGCACUCUAAAGAGACCGCCUCGGUUAACGGGGAGGAAGGUGGGGAUGACGUCAAGUCCUCAUGGCCUUUAUACCCAGGGCUACACACGUGCUACAAUGGGCUGUACAAAGGGUUGCUAACUCGCGAGAGCACGCUAAUCCCAAAAAGCAGUCCUUAGUUCGGAUUGGAGUCUGCAACUCGACUCCAUGAAGUUGGAAUCGCUAGUAAUCGUGGAUCAGCACGCCACGGUGAAUACGUUCCCGGGCCUUGUACACACCGCCCGUCACACCACGAAAGUUGACUGUACCAGAAGUUGCUGGGCUAACCCUUCGGGGAGGC